GACGAACGCUGGCGGCGUGCCUAACACAUGCAAGUCGAGCGGUAAGGCCCUUUCGGGGGUACACGAGCGGCGAACGGGUGAGUAACACGUGGGUGACCUGCCCUCAGCUCUGGGAUAAGCCUGGGAAACCGGGUCUAAUACCGGAUAUGACUCCAUGACGCAUGUUGUGGGGUGAAAGCCUUGUGCGGCUGAGGAUGGGCCCGCGGCCUAUCAGCUUGUUGGUGGGGUNAUGGCCUACCAAGGCGACGACGGGUAGCCGGCCUGAGAGGGCGACCGGCCACACUGGGACUGAGACACGGCCCAGACUCCUACGGGAGGCAGCAGUGGGGAAUCUUGCGCAAUGGGCGAAAGCCUGACGCAGCGACGCCGCGUGAGGGAUGAC
rnacentral:rRNA from 1 species